UACGUAGGGUGCGAGCGUUAAUCGGAAUUACUGGGCGUAAAGUGUGCGCAGGCGGCAGAGCAAGUCGAGUGUGAAAGCCCCGGGCUUAACUUGGGAAUUGCGCUCGAAACUACUUUGCUGGAGUGUGGCAGAGGAAGGUGGAAUUCCACGUGUAGCGGUGAAAUUCGUAGAUAUCGGGAGGAACACCAGUGGCGAAGGCGGCGAUCUGGGAAGAUACUGACGCUGAGGUGCGAAAGCGUGGGGAGCAAACAGG
rnacentral:rRNA from 1 species